GACGAACGCUGGCGGCGUGCCUAAUACAUGCAAGUAGAACGCUGAAGAGAGGAGCUUGCUCUUCUUGGAUGAGUUGCGAACGGGUGAGUAACGCGUAGGUAACCUGCCUUGUAGCGGGGGAUAACUAUUGGAAACGAUAGCUAAUACCGCAUAACAAUGGAUGACACAUGUCAUUUAUUUGAAAGGGGCAAUUGCUCCACUACAAGAUGGACCUGCGUUGUAUUAGCUAGUAGGUGAGGUAAUGGCUCACCUAGGCGACGAUACAUAGCCGACCUGAGAGGGUGAUCGGCCACACUGGGACUGAGACACGGCCCAGACUCCUACGGGAGACAGCAGUAGGGAAUCUUCGGCAAUGGGGGCAACCCUGACCGAGCAACGCCGCGUGAGUGAAGAAGGUUUUCGGAUCGUAAAGCUCUGUUGUAAGUCAAGAACGGGUGUGAGAGUGGAAAGUUCACACUGUGACGGUAGCUUACCAGAAAGGGACGGCUAACUACGUG
rnacentral:rRNA from 1 species